AGUUCUACAGUGGUUAUUAAGGUGGCAGAGUUCACAAAUCCUGGUUGAUUUUUCUUGUUUCAGGUCUUUGUUUUCCUGAUAUUUUGUAAUGAAAGGAAAGGUCAAAGUGUGCAAUAACAACCUUCCUGUGAACACACUGUUUCAACAAAUACAGACCGGCUCACUAAAAAACAAACAGAACAAGUCAGAGCCAGACACUGUUGUUUGUGGGAAGUCAUGAAGAUAAGCACUGUUGAAACAAGUCGAUCAUUUUGAUGGGCUAAUGUGGUUACAUCCAGGAGACGCUCAGCGAACAGUCAUGUAAUUAUGAAAGACAAAUCUCUCACACAGACAUUAAUUCAGACCCUGUACACGUGCCAGGAAACGAGCCGACCCACAGGGAUAUAUGAAGUAAUUACAGCGCUAAGUGUCUCCUUCAAGAGUUGAGGUAUAUGUAUGAGAGUUUCCUGCAGCCUGUCCAUCGGAGGUAGUGGCGCAUGGGUUGUGCAUGGAAAUGUUCACUCACUCCAACAAGAGAAGUGUGGAUUUUGGCACUCACCAGCGGCUCAGAGAGUGGGUGUGGUCAAGGGUUAAAGGUCACAAGGUGAGAACCGGGCCAGCGCUGACACCAAACCUUCGUUCACUCGUGGAAUUUGUGAGAGUGUGUGGAAGGGUGAGAGAAAGUUCAUCUUUCAUCCGUCCGUCUUCUGUUUUUUCUGCAGACAGAAGACGACUUAAUCAGAGGGUUGAAUGUAUCUGUGAGUAAUGAUAACAAGGAGAGUGUCACCAGUGCUUCCACAUGCUUCCUCUCUUCAUUAUAGCUCAAUACUCUCUCUCCUUAACAUUUCCUCCUCAUAAAAAGCUUCACCAAACUUGUUUGCAAGGUUCCCCAUAAUCCAUAGGAAUAUGGAUGUGAUGACAUAAGCCAAUAAACAUGUGUAUUCUUACUUA